rnacentral:rRNA from 1 species
GUCUACGGCCAUACCACUCUGAACACGCCCAGUCUCAUCUGAUCUCAGAAGCUAAGCAGGGUCGGGCCUGGUUAGUACUUGAAUGGGAGACCGCCUGGGAAUACCAGGUGCUGUAGGCU